rnacentral:lncRNA from 1 species
CUCUUCCGGGCAAAAUGGCGAUGGGACUAAUGUGCGGACGCCGGGAGCUUCUGCGCUUGCUACAGUCCGGGCGUCGGGUCCACAGCGUCGCAGGGCCCUCGCAAUGGCUUGGGAAACCGCUGACCACACGGCUCCUAUUCCCAGCAGCCCCGUGCUGCUGUCGCCCACACUACCUCUUCCUUGCGGCUUCCGGCCCCCGCAGCCUCAGUACCUCUGCUAUCUCUUUUGCAGAAGUCCAGGUAAGAGGCCUUUCGUUCCUGCAAUAUUAGGAGUGGUGUUUCCUGGUUGGUUUCAUAUUUUGUUUUGUUUGGGAGCAGGGGGAAUAUGGAGCAGAGUUCUUGUCCACGCUCCACACAGCUCUCCAAAAUGAUAGCAUCUCUGCUUAGGAUGGAUUUUCAAUUCAGUGGGGAAAUGAUUGAAAGUACAACAGGAGAGAUGUUAUAUUUGGUUUUCUGAGCUGUUUUAAAGAAAAGCAAUUGUUUCAUGUUAAUAUAUGGCAAAAAUCAUGAUAGUGAUAUUCAAAUGGCUGAAGUUUGGA